GCACUGAAGCGCGGUUUGGCGCGGUGGACGAAUUUUUGUUUCGUCCUCCUAACACAGGGAGGCAACGCUUGUCUUCGCCAGUCCUUUUGUAUUUUGUCCAUGCCCUGAGUCGAGCUGUGAGCGACCGUCGAUAUUCACCAGACGACAAAAGUGAAGUUUCGUUGCGACCGCCGUGGUAUUUCGUUUGGCUUAGAAACGGCGCGUUGCUGCCGGAGUUCGGUUCGCCGUCUGGACCCAGCAGGCUCCUCUUUCACUUUUUGCCAACAAGGACCGUUCACCAGGCAUGAUCGUUAAUAUGCAACAUUGUGGAGGUAACAAGAGCUAACAGGUAGCCAAGAUAGUCGACUACUCAGCUGUCAGACAUGACCAUUGGACCAUGAGACAGCUAAGUUUACCCUUACUGCAGGUAA